GAGGUCCCAUUGAAGAUCAACCAUGGAGGUCGGAACACUAUUAAUGUGAAGCUGAGAACACUAACACAUGUCUCUUGCAAAUCUGUGUGCCAAAAGAUAAAUACUAACCAUUGGCUUGUCUGUUUUCUUCAGCUGAGGAGAAGAAAGAAGAGAAGAAGGAAGAAUCUGAAGAAUCUGAUGAUGACAUGGGAUUUGGCCUAUUUGAUUAAUUAUUUGUUAUACAGAAAUUAUUAAAAUUGUUUGUUUAAAUUUUAAAA
rnacentral:misc_RNA from 1 species